UUACUUAUCUGGCAGAGACCGUGAUCUGGAAGAUUAAUUUUCCAGGGCGAGGCUCAUCCACUGUGCUGCGGGCGUGCUGACCACUGCAAUUUCCCCAUGUGCGGGAAAGUCGACUACAUAAUUUCUGGUAGUGGGAGAUUGCAUUUGUGCUCUCCUC
rnacentral:snRNA from 1 species